rnacentral:snRNA from 1 species
AGAGAGAUAGUAGGCUAA